AGAGUUUGAUCCUGGCUCAGAUUGAACGCUGGCGGCAUGCUUUACACAUGCAAGUCGAACGGCAGCGCGGGGCAACCUGGCGGCGAGUGGCGAACGGGUGAGUAAUAUAUCGGAACGUACCCAAGAGUGGGGGAUAACGUAGCGAAAGUUACGCUAAUACCGCAUACGAUCUAAGGAUGAAAGUGGGGGAUCGCAAGACCUCAUGCUCCUGGAGCGGCCGAUAUCUGAUUAGCUAGUUGGUGAGGUAAAGGCUCACCAAGGCCACGAUCAGUAGCUGGUCUGAGAGGACGACCAGCCACACUGGAACUGAGACACGGUCCAGACUCCUACGGGAGGCAGCAGUGGGGAAUUUUGGACAAUGGGCGCAAGCCUGAUCCAGCAAUGCCGCGUGCAGGAAGAAGGCCUUCGGGUUGUAAACUGCUUUUAUCAGGGAAGAAAUCCUCUGGGUUAAUACCUCGGGGGGAUGACGGUACCUGAAGAAUAAGCACCGGCUAACUACGUGCCAGCAGCCGCGGUAAUACGUAGGGUGCGAGCGUUAAUCGGAAUUACUGGGCGUAAAACGUGCGCAGGCGGCUUUGCAAGACAAUGUGAAAUCCCCGGGCUCAACCUGGGAACUGCAUUUGUGACUGCAAGGCUAGAGUACGGUAGAGGGGGAUGGAAUUCCGCGUGUAGCAGUGAAAUGCGUAGAUAUGCGGAGGAACACCAAUGGCGAAGGCAAUCCCCUGGACCUGUACUGACGCUCAUGCACGAAAGCGUGGGGAGCAAACAGGAUUAGAUACCCUGGUAGUCCACGCCCUAAACGAUGUCAACUGGUUGUUGGACGGCUUGCUGUUCAGUAACGAAGCUAACGCGUGAAGUUGACCGCCUGGGGAGUACGGCCGCAAGGUUGAAACUCAAAGGAAUUGACGGGGACCCGCACAAGCGGUGGAUGAUGUGGUUUAGUUCGAUGCAACGCGAAAAACCUUACCUACCCUUGACAUGUCAAGAAUUCUGCAGAGAUGUGGAAGUGCUCGAAGGAGAACUUGAACACAGGUGCUGCAUGGCCGUCGUCAGCUCGUGUCGUGAGAUGUUGGGUUAAGUCCCGCAACGAGCGCAACCCUUGUCAUUAGUUGCUACGAAAGGGCACUCUAAUGAGACUGCCGGUGACAAACCGGAGGAAGGUGGGGAUGACGUCAGGUCCUCAUGGCCCUUAUGGGUAGGGCUACACACGUCAUACAAUGGCCGGUACAGAGGGCUGCCAACCCGCGAGGGGGAGCCAAUCCCAGAAAACCGGUCGUAGUCCGGAUCGCAGUCUGCAACUCGACUGCGUGAAGUCGGAAUCGCUAGUAAUCGCGGAUCAGCUUGCCGCGGUGAAUACGUUCCCGGGUCUUGUACACACCGCCCGUCACACCAUGGGAGCGGGUUCCGCCAGAAGUAGUUAGCCUAACCGCAAGGAGGGCGAUUACCACGGCGGGGUUCGUGACUGGGGUGAAGUCGUAACAAGGUAACC
rnacentral:rRNA from 1 species